rnacentral:rRNA from 1 species
AUACGUAGGGAGCAAGCGUUGUCCGGAAUUACUGGGCGUAAAGGGUGCGUAGGCGGUCAGACAAGUCAGAUGUGAAAGACCGGGGCUCAACCCCGGGGUUGCAUUUGAAACUGCCUGACUUGAGUGCAGGAGAGGUAAGUGGAAUUCCUAGUGUAGCGGUGAAAUGCGUAGAUAUUAGGAGGAACACCAGUUGCGAAGGCGGCUCUCUGGACUGUAACUGACACUGAGGCAC